rnacentral:rRNA from 1 species
GCCUACGGGGCGCAGCAGUGGGGGAUAUUGGUCAAUGGGGGAAACCCUGAACCAGCAACGCCGCGUGAGGGAAGACGGUUUUCGGAUUGUAAACCUCUGUCCUCUGUGAAGAUAAUGACGGUAGUAGAGGAGGAAGCUCCGGCUAACUACGUGCCAGCAGCCGCGGUAGUACGUAGGGAGCGAGCGUUGUCCGGAUUUACUGGGUGUAAAGGGUGCGUAGGCGGGUAAGCGAGGCAGAAGGGAAAUCCAUGGGCUUAAACCAUGAACUGCUUUUGAAACUGUUUAUCUUGAGUGAAG